UUCUAGCUUGCUAGAAGAUGACGAGCGGCGGACGGGUGAGUAAUACUUAGGAAUCUACCUAGUAGUGGGGGAUAGCACGGGGAAACUCGUAUUAAUACCGCAUACGACCUACGGGAGAAAGGGGGCAGUUUACUGCUCUCGCUAUUAGAUGAGCCUAAGUCGGAUUAGCUAGAUGGUGGGGUAAAGGCCUACCAUGGCGACGAUCUGUAGCUGGUCUGAGAGGAUGAUCAGCCACACCGGGACUGAGACACGGCCCGGACUCCUACGGGAGGCAGCAGUGGGGAAUAUUGGACAAUGGGGGAAACCCUGAUCCAGCCAUGCCGCGUGUGUGAAGAAGGCCUUUUGGUUGUAAAGCACUUUAAGCAGUGAAGAAGACUCCAUGGUUAAUACCCAUGGACGAUGACAUUAGCUGCAGAAUAAGCACCGGCUAACUCUGUGCCAGCAGCCGCGGUAAUACAGAGGGUGCAAGCGUUAAUCGGAAUUACUGGGCGUAAAGGGAGCGUAGGUGGCUCUAUAAGUCAGAUGUGAAAUCCCCGGGCUUAACCUGGGAACUGCAUCUGAAACUGUAGAGCUAGAGUAUGUGAGAGGAAGGUAGAAUUCCAGGUGUAGCGGUGAAAUGCGUAGAGAUCUGGAGGAAUACCGAUGGCGAAGGCAGCCUUCUGGCAUAAUACUGACACUGAGGCUCGAAAGCGUGGGUAGCAAACAGGAUUAGAUACCCUGGUAGUCCACGCCGUAAACGAUGUCUACUAGUCGUUGGGUCCCUUGAGGACUUAGUGACGCAGCUAACGCAAUAAGUAGACCGCCUGGGGAGUACGGCCGCAAGGUUAAAACUCAAAUGAAUUGACGGGGGCCCGCACAAGCGGUGGAGCAUGUGGUUUAAUUCGAUGCAACGCGAAGAACCUUACCUGGUCUUGACAUAUCUAGAAUCCUGCAGAGAUGCGGGAGUGCCUUCGGGAAUUAGAAUACAGGUGCUGCAUGGCUGUCGUCAGCUCGUGUCGUGAGAUGUUGGGUUAAGUCCCGCAACGAGCGCAACCCUUGUCCUUAGUUACCAGCGGGUUAAGCCGGGAACUCUAAGGAUACUGCCAGUGACAAACUGGAGGAAGGCGGGGACGACGUCAAGUCAUCAUGGCCCUUACGACCAGGGCUACACACGUGCUACAAUGGUAGGUACAGAGGGCAGCUACACAGCGAUGUGAUGCGAAUCUCAAAAAGCCUAUCGUAGUCCAGAUUGGAGUCUGCAACUCGACUCCAUGAAGUAGGAAUCGCUAGUAAUCGCGGAUCAGAAU
rnacentral:rRNA from 1 species